ACAAUUCCGUUAUGUAUUGUGGUUGGCACACAAACUAAAGAAGAGGUUAUGUUUGUAUCUAUUUUUCAAUGAUUUUUCAUUGUUUAUCGUCGUAUUUUGGAUUCAUUUGGAUUUCGUUUCCUGUUUUUGUGAACUUUAUAAACUUUACCACAAUGCGAACUGAUUAUUUAAGGAAAUUAUUAUUGGAAACUCCAGAUGUUGCGAGAAAGAUAUUUAUUGAAGCUGAAAAUAAUUGGGGAUUUGGAUCCAUACGGAAUUCAGUCAGAAUUGAAUUUUACAGUAAAGUGCAGUCCAUCAAGUUACUAUUAUAGAUAUGUAUUUAUACAGAUCUGGUGGAGUCUCACAGUUGCUACUCUAAGCAGCAGAUGAAAGCAUACAAAAGCCUUCAGGCACAUAAAUAUUUUACAGCUGGAUUUGUUUUGAAUGGAGUAAAAAUUGUUAAUGAUUUCCUGAUUUCCAUAUUAUUGUUGGAAAGGUGAAGCAUUUCCAAAAAGCUAAUGCUAAACGACUAAAUGCUUGGGUGGGGUGAUAGCCAGUUCUGAUGACAUAGCAAAUGCACAUUGUAUGCGUAUGGCCGGUAAUAGUGAAGUCUGCAGCCAUAUUGCAGCAAUCCUAUUUUUAGCUGAGUAUGCCCAGAGCAAGACAGACGAAGAAGAACCCAAUGCAUGUACAUAUGUUACAGCUACAUGGUUUGGAGAUAGCAACAUAUGCAUUCUCUGAUGAAAAACUGAUGAGUUUUGAAACUGUUCGGUCAGAGUGCUUGUUGCGCUCACUAAACGAACUGAAAUAUAAGAAGUCUUUGGCAUUGUGUUGCAGCGAUAUGAAAAUGGUUAUUCAUUUUUAAUUAUAAUGUACUUCUUCAUCAUGAGUAAUUAUGUAUUGGUCUUUUAGAUGUGUAUUUAUUUUUGUAAUUAGUAUCAACUUGUAAUGAUAAUAUACAUUUAUCGUUUAAGGUACGACUAUGUUUUGACUCUAAAAUAAAUGUUUUAAAAAUCGAA